ensembl:lncRNA
AUGGAUUUUGUACUGUAGAUAUGUGGUAGUGGUGGAGUAGGUGACUGAGAGCACACAGUGUGUUGUAGAUAUGAGGUAGUGGUGGAGUAGGUGACUGAGAGCACACAGUGUGUUGUGAAAUCUGUGAAUGUAUUGUAAUGUUUUUAAAAUUGUAUAAACUGCCUUAAUUUUGCCAGACCCCAGGAAGAGUAGCUGCUGCCUUGGUAGCAGCUAAUGGGGAUCCAUAAUAAAUACGAAUAACAACCCUGUUCCUGGAGAGCUACCGAUCUGUAGGUGUUUGCUCCAACCCUGUUCCUGGAGAGCUACCAAUCUGUAGGUGUUUGCUCCAACCCUGUUCCUGGAGAGCUACCGAUCUGUAGGUGUUUGCUCCAACCCUGUUCCUGGAGAGCUACCAAUCUGUAGGUGUUUGCUCCAACCCUGUUCCUGGAGAGCUACCAAUCUG